rnacentral:rRNA from 1 species
GUCGAACGGUAACAUUUCUAGCUUGCUAGAAGAUGACGAGUGGCGGACGGGUGAGUAAUGCUUGGGAACUUGCCUUCAGGAGGGGGAUAACAGUUGGAAACGACUGCUAAUACCGCAUAAUGUCUCCGGACCAAAGCGGGCUUCGGCUCGCACCUGAAGAGAGGCCCAAGUGAGAUUAGCUAGUUGGUAAGGUAAAGGCUUACCAAGGCGACGAUCUCUAGCUGUUCUGAGAGGAAGAUCAGCCACACUGGGACUGAGACACGGCCCAGACUCCUACGGGAGGCAGCAGUGGGGAAUAUUGCACAAUGGGGGAAACCCUGAUGCAGCCAUGCCGCGUGUGUGAAGAAGGCCUUCGGGUUGUAAAGCACUUUCAGUUGUGAGGAAAAGUUAGUAGUUAAUACCUGCUAGCCGUGACGUUAACAACAGAAGAAGCACCGGCUAACUCCGUGCCAGCAGCCGCGGUAAUACGGAGGGUGCGAGCGUUAAUCGGAAUUACUGGGCGUAAAGCGCACGCAGGCGGUUUGUUAAGCUAGAUGUGAAAGCCCCGGGCUCAACCUGGGAUGGUCAUUUAGAACUGGCAGACUAGAGUCUUGGAGAGGGGAGUGGAAUUCCAGGUGUAGCGGUGAAAUGCGUAGAUAUCUGGAGGAACAUCAGUGGCGAAGGCGACUCCCUGGCCAAAGACUGACGCUCAUGUGCGAAAGUGUGGGUAGCGAACAGGAUUAGAUACCCUGGUAGUCCACACCGUAAACGCUGUCUACUAGCUGUGUGUGCCUUUAAGGCGUGCGUAGCGAAGCUAACGCGCUAAGUAGACCGCCUGGGGAGUACGGCCGCAAGGUUAAAACUCAAAUGAAUUGACGGGGGCCCGCACAAGCGGUGGAGCAUGUGUUUAUUCGAUGCACGCGAAGACCUUACCUACACUUGACAUGCAGAGACUUUCUAGAGAUAGAUUGUGCCUUCGGGACUCUGACACAGUGCUGCAUGCUGUCGUCAGCUCGUGUCGUGAGAUGUUGGUUAAGUCCCGCACGAGCGCAACCCUUGUUCUUUAGUUGCCAGCAUUAAGUUGGCACUCUAAGAAACUGCCGGUGACAACCGAGGAAGGUGGGGGAGACGAUCAGUCAUCCUUGGCCCUACUUGUAGGGGUACCCCCGGCCUCUAUGGCAUUUUCUAAGGGAAACAAGACACUGUGUGUGGGGGGGCCACCCUCUAUAAAUGUUGAGAUCCCCGCAGUGGAGUGUCGACCUCCACUCUCUUGAUAAAUCGGAAUUAUCUGUAUUUAUAUACCAGCGCGCAAAAAUAUCGAGGCGGUAAUAGAUUAUUUUCCCUGGUGCUCU